rnacentral:rRNA from 1 species
GACGAACGCUGGCGGCGUGCUUAACACAUGCAAGUCGAACGGGAUUCGGGCUUUCGGGUUUGGUGAGAGUGGCGAACGGGUGAGUAACACGUGAGUAACCUGCCCCCUUCUUUGGGAUAACGUCGGGAAAUCGGCGCUAAUACUGGAUAUUCUUGCUGCAUCGCAUGGUGUGGUUUGGAAAGGGUUUCUGGUGGGGGAUGGGCUCGCGGCCUAUCAGCUUGUUGGUGGGGUGAUGGCCUACCAAGGCUUUGACGGGUAGCCGGCCUGAGAGGGUGUCCGGCCACACUGGGACUGAGACACGGCCCAGACUCCUACGGGAGGCAGCAGUGGGGAAUAUUGCACAAUGGGCGCAAGCCUGAUGCAGCGACGCCGCGUGAGGGAUGACGGCCUUCGGGUUGUAAACCCCUUUCAGUAUGGAACAAGGAUCCUUCUUUUGGGGGGUUUGAGGGUACGUGCAGAAGAAGCGCCGGCUAACUACGUG